rnacentral:rRNA from 1 species
AUUGAACGCUGGCGGCAGGCCUAACACAUGCAAGUCGAGCGAGCGGCGGACGGGUGAGUAAUGUAUGGGCAACUGCCUGAUGGAGGGGGAUAACUACUGUAAACGGUAGCUAAUACCGCAUACCCUCAGAUGUGCCCCGAUGGGAUUAGCUGGUAGGUGUGGUAAUGGCGCACCUAGGCGACGAUCCCUAGCUGGUCUGAGAGGAUGAGCAGCCACACUGGAACUGAGACACGGGCCAGACUCCUACGGGAGGCAGCAGUGGGGAAUAUUGCACAAUGGGCGCAAGCCUGAUGCAGCCAUGCCGCGUGUGUGAAGAAGGCCUUCGGGUUGUAAAGCGCUUUCGGCGAGGAGGCGUUACUCGCAGAAGAAGCAACGGCUAACUCCGUGCCAGCAGCCGCGGUAAUUC